rnacentral:rRNA from 1 species
UACGUAGGGAGCAAGCGUUGUCCGGAAUCAUUGGGCGUAAAGCGCGCGUAGGUGGCCUCAUAAGUCCGUUGUGAAAGUCAAAGGCUCAACCUUUGAAAGCCGAUGGAUACUGUGAGACUAGAGUACGGAAGAGGCGAGUGGAAUUCCUGGUGUAGCGGUGGAAUGCGCAGAUAUCAGGAGGAACACCAAUAGCGAAGGCAGCUCGCUGGGACGUUACUGACACUGAGACGCGAAAGCGUGGGGAGCAAACAGG